rnacentral:rRNA from 1 species
GGGUUGUGAGGUUAAGCGACUAAGCGUACACGGUGGAUGCCCUGGCAGUCAGAGGCGAUGAAGGGCGUGCUAAUCUGCGAUAAGCGCCGGUAAGGUGAUAUGAACCGUUAUAACCGGCGAUACCCGAAUGGGGAAACCCAGUGUGAUUCGUCACACUAUCAUUACGUGAAUACAUAGCGUAAUGAAGCGAACCGGGGGAACUGAAACAUCUAAGUACCCCGAGGAAAAGAAAUCAACCGAGAUUCCCCCAGUAGCGGCGAGCGAACGGGGAGGAGCCCAGAGCCUGAAUCAGCAUGUGUGUUAGUGGAAGCGUCUGGAAAGGCGCGCGAUACAGGGUGACAGCCCCGUACACAAAAGCGCAUGUGUUGUGAGCUCGAUGAGUAGGGCGGGACACGUGGUAUCCUGUCUGAAUAUGGGGGGACCAUCCUCCAAGGCUAAAUACUCCUGACUGACCGAUAGUGAACCAGUACCGUGAGGGAAAGGCGAAAAGAACCCCGGCGAGGGGAGUGAAAAAGAACCUGAAACCGUGUACGUACAAGCAGUGGGAGCACCCUUUGGGGUGUGACUGCGUACCUUUUGUAUAAUGGGUCAGCGACUUAUAUUCUGUAGCAAGGUUAACCGAAUAGGGGAGCCGGAGGGAAACCGAGUCUUAAUUGGGCGUUAAGUUGCAGGGUAUAGACCCGAAACCCGGUGAUCUAGCCAUGGGCAGGUUGAAGGUUGGGUAACACUAACUGGAGGACCGAACCGACUAAUGUUGAAAAAUUAGCGGAUGACCUGUGGCUGGGGGUGAAAGGCCAAUCAAACCGGGAGAUAGCUGGUUCUCCCCGAAAGCUAUUUAGGUAGCGCCUCGUGAACUCAUCUCCGGGGGUAGAGCACUGUUUCGGCUAGGGGGCCAUCCCGGCUUACCAACCCGAUGCAAACUGCGAAUACCGGAGAAUGUUAUCACGGGAGACACACGGCGGGUGCUAACGUCCGUCGUGAAGAGGGAAACAACCCAGACCGCCAGCUAAGGUCCCAAAGUCAUAGUUAAGUGGGAAACGAUGUGGGAAGGCCCAGACAGCCAGGAUGUUGGCUUAGAAGCAGCCAUCAUUUAAAGAAAGCGUAAUAGCUCACUGGUCGAGUCGGCCUGCGCGGAAGAUGUAACGGGGCUAAACUAUGCACCGAAGCUGCGGCAGCGACACUAUGU